AAGUCGUAACAAGGUUUCCGUAGGUGAACCUGCGGAAGGAUCAUUAAAGGAAUAUAAUAUAUUCUCUCACACCUUAUGUGCAUUAGUAUUGUAUAAAAAAAACUUUUUUUUUCUUGGUAAAAAAAGUCUUUUUUUUUAAUUUCUUUGGUGGGACAAAGCCUUUGAUUUGACUGAAAUUUUUUUUGGGGUAUAUCUGGCCUGGGGAGAAAAAUGUUUUUUUCUUUCUUUUGGGCCAGGCCAUCCCAAAAAAAAAUUUAGUUUGGGCCAAACUCUCACCAAAAGGAAUAUUAAGAAAAAAAUUUUUUUUUACCAAGGGAGAAAAAGUCAAUUCACUCGAAUCAAAAAAUUUUACUUUGCCUGAAAAACUUUUUGAAAAUAAUUAAUUUAUAAAUACAACUUUCAACAACGGAUCUCUUGGCUCUC
rnacentral:misc_RNA from 1 species